AGCUUUGCACAGUGGCAGCAUCGUAGCCAAUGGGGUUUAUCUGAGGUGCGAUUAUUGUGAUUAUUGCUAAUUGAAAACUUUUUCCAAUACCCCGGCGUGACGAUUUGAAAUAUAGGCUAUUUCUGACAUUCUCUUAUAGA
ensembl:snRNA U4 U4 spliceosomal RNA